rnacentral:rRNA from 1 species
AUUGAACGCUGGCGGCAUGCCUAACACAUGCAAGUCGAGCGAGUGGCGGACGGGUGAGUAAUAUAUGGGAAUCUGCCCGAUAGCGGGGGAUAACUACUGGAAAGAGUGGCUAAUACCGCAUACUAUUGGAUGGACCCAUAUGGGAUUAGCUAGUAGGUGGGGUAAAGGCUCACCAAGGCGACGAUCUCUAGCUGGUUUGAGAGGAUGAUCAGCCACACUGGGACUGAGACACGGCCCAGACUCCUACGGGAGGCAGCAGUGGGGAAUAUUGCACAAUGGGCGAAAGCCUGAUGCAGCCAUGCCGCGUGUAUGAAGAAGGCCUUAGGGUUGUAAAGUACUUUCAGCGGGGAGGCGUUACCUGCAGAAGAAGCACCGGCUAACUCCGUGCCAGCAGCCGCGGUAAUUC